rnacentral:rRNA from 1 species
GAUGAACGCUAGCGGCAGGCCUAACACAUGCAAGUCGAGGGAGAAGCCCUUUCGGGGGCAGAAACCGGCGCACGGGUGCGUAACGCGUAUGCAACCUACCUUUCACAGGGGGAUAGCCCGAAGAAAUUUGGAUUAAUACCCCAUAAUAUUAUUGGAUGGCAUCAUUUGAUAAUUAAAACUGCGGUGGUGAAAGAUGGGCAUGCGUCCUAUUAGCUAGUUGGAGUGGUAACGGCACCCCAAGGCUACGAUAGGUAGGGGUCCUGAGAGGGAGAUCCCCCACACUGGUACUGAGACAGGGACCAGACUCCUACGGGAGGCAGCAGUGAGGAAUAUUGGUCAAUGGUCGGAAGACUGAACCAGCCAUGCCGCGUGCAGGAAGAAUGCCUUAUGGGUUGUAAACUGCUUUUAGAUGGGAAGAAUAAGGUGUACGUGUACAUUGAUGACGGUACCAUAUGAAUAAGCAUCGGCUAACUCCGUG